CUGCUCGACCCUGAGCCACCACACUUCAUUGUGGACCAAUAUCAGGUGGACCAAUAUCAGAAGCUCCCUUGCAGUCCCCACAGGUCUUUUCAGUGACUCAGCACCCGCAUCCAGUGCUCUGAGUGACUAGCUGAGCGUCGCACCACUACAGAUAUCUUAACGAUACUGGUACAGACCGCAAUGCUCCCUCAACGGAUUGCCAGUGAUCCCGCUCACCCUCCAC